rnacentral:rRNA from 1 species
GACGAACGCUGGCGGCGUGCUUAACACAUGCAAGUCGAACGGAAAGGCCCUGCUUGCAGGGUGCUCGAGUGGCGAACGGGUGAGUAACACGUGGGUGAUCUGCCCCUUACUUUGGGAUAAGCCUGGGAAACUGGGUCUAAUACUGGAUAGGACCAUGCUGUAGGUGGUGUGGUGGAAAGAUUAGUUUCGGUAAGGGAUGAGCUCGCGGCCUAUCAGCUUGUUGUUGGGGUAAUGGCCUACCAAGGCGUCGACGGGUAGCCGGCCUGAGAGGGUGGACGGCAACAUUGGGACUGAGAUGCGGCGCAGACUCCUACGGGAGGCAGCAGUGGGGAAUAUUGCACAAUGGGCGCAAGCCUGAUGCAGCGACGCCGCGUGGGGGAUGAAGGCCUUCGGGUUGUAAACUCCUUUCAGCCAUGACGAAGCCCUUGUGGUGACGGUAGUGGUAGAAGAAGCACCGGCUAACUACGUG